ACUCUUGGUGCAGGAGCAUGGUUGCUCUCAGGUAGAAAUGCUUGUUGUAGCACUUAUAUGUUGCUGGUGCACCACAGCCAGUGGGCUGCUGGUCUGUUUUCAUGUUGUACAGCUGCUAACAUGUGGAAGAGAUGGGAGCCAUGACUCCUGAUCUUGCUUUUAGUUAGCAGAGCAGAUUCUCCUAGAGUUUGAAAUUACCAUGAUAAAUUUGAAAGGAAGCCUGAGAUAGUUUUAGAAGCACAACUGUAAUAGCAACUGAAUUGAUGGAAAUAUAAGUGGUGCAGCAAAGGACGAGUCAAAUCACAACUGAAAGAACAACCAAGAAUAAACGUUCGCAGGAAACAAUGCAUAUAAACAUGCAUUUGAAGAUGUUUGGAGAUGAAGUUCCGGGGAAAUAAAAUGGAACAGGUACUGCUUUUAUAUACCAUAGGCUUCCCACAGAUCUACAAGGCUGAGAUCAGCAAACAACUUUCUUUUUCUGUAUAAAUGCUGUUAUGCAAGACUCCUGAAGCUGCUGUGCCAACAGAAGUGUAAGAUAAUGGUGAGAAUAUUUACUGGAAGAUCUAUUGUUUGCAUUUAUAGCCAGCUGCUCCUCUCAGGUCAGCACUUCAGGGUAUCUCCGAAUGGUUGCACAAUGGUUGUGGUCUAACCCAUUGGGAUUUUAUUGCAGGAGGAAGGAGAGUAAGAAAGGGAGGAGGGGAGGAAAGGUGGGAGGAAAAGCUCAAGUGUCCUUGCGUGCUGAGAGGGGUGCAAGAAGAAGCUCUGUUCGUCUCACUGCACUUCAGGACUGUCAAGCGCUGUGACCCAUUUUCCCUUCUGGCAGCUCCUACACAAGGGCUGCUUUGAAAUAACCGCUUAGCUUAUACCUUCGCUUCUCAUUUCUGAGGCCAUGUGAAGAGCUUGCCAGCAGUGCUGAGAGUCCUCUGCUGAAGGACACUGUCAAGAUGUAACUAUUGUUUCAAAGAAGUUACAAGUAUCCUGGAGGUGGACUUGCAUUAGCUCCGACGACACAGUUGGGCUGUGACAAUAGGUUUUGUAUAUUUCUUAUUUGCUUUUCUUGGGAGUUGGAGUGGCAUUAGGAAAACACAUUUUAAUAUCAGGCUGUAGGAGGUGAGACAGAGCUCACUGUCUCUCUGAUAGCAGCAUUUAAAGCACAAGAAGCCAAAUUCAGCCCUGAACUUUUCUUCUGGAGUGUCUUAUCUUUUUAAGAAAGAAGGAUGCCAGUUCCUGGAAAAAGAGAAGGACAAAGCAAGAUGCGGAGAGCUGAAAACGCUGUUACAGUGCAGCCUAGGAUAAGCACAGUAUAUUAAAUUCUGGACAGCUGAGGACAAUCUCUCUUAUUAAGAGCAGAGUGUUCCCUGGUCCCUUUGUAUUAGAAAUUGUAACUACUUGAUGUUCUUACACCUUGUCUAAUUCCUCAUGACUCCUUCAGAAUUGAUGUAGCUCAACAUCUUUGUCAUCCAAAUAGAUUCCCAGAAAAUCGGAUCCUGAUUACUAAUAACUU
ensembl:lncRNA